CCCUCUGUCUGGCAUGAGGAGUCCAGGCUUUGUCUACAUUUUCUUCCUGACAUCAUACCUCGCAUACCGUACCCCCCACCCAGAGGGGACAGAUGGGAGACCCUGGCUGCCUCCUAGCCCGGCCCUCUGAGGGCAACGUACAAAAGACGGCCAGUUUUCGUACGUAUCUGGAGACUCACAAGCUCUCAAUCAAGCCAAAACCAGCUGCGGAAGUAAACAGAAAAAGGAUACGUUCAAAACAGUAGAAUUGAAAAUCCCACCCACAGCCGCAGUUUCGUGUGACUGCAAAUCAGCAAAACACCGAAGGUGAGAAAUCAAGCGAGAUCCUGGGAGGCAAGAUCCCUCGAGACCCACAAAGCCCUGUACAGAUAUGAGGAGCUCUGGCUUAACUUGCUGAAUGAAGGGGUGUGAUUGAGGAAUGAGGCAUACAAUUCUCUUGGCUCUUUUGCAGAACAUUAAGGACCUUCCUGCCCUGAGAUUCUUCCUGCUCUAAGCCACUUGCCCAAGGGUGGAAUUAAGAAUCUCCUCGUCACAGCGCUAUAGGAAUUCGACGUGAUUUUGCACCAUACCGACCCAGCCCAGGACCUGGCACAGGGAGGGCCCCCAGAAGACUUGAGGCCUCCCUUCCUGCCAGACACUGUGCCCAGCACAGGAGCACAGAUGCCCGAGUCUUAGUUCCUGCCUGCAGGGAGCUUGGGUUAUAAAGUC